rnacentral:rRNA from 1 species
AUUGAACGCUGGCGGCAGGCCUAACACAUGCAAGUCGAGCGGUAGAGAGGAGCUUGCUUCUCUUGAGAGCGGCGGACGGGUGAGUAAUGCCUAGGAAUCUGCCUGGUAGUGGGGGAUAACGUCCGGAAACGGACGCUAAUACCGCAUACGUCCUACGGGAGAACGUGGGGGAUCUUCGGACCUCACGCUAUCAGAUGAGCCUAGGUCGGAUUAGCUAGUUGGUGAGGUAAAGGCUCACCAAGGCGACGAGCCGUAACUGGUCUGAGAGGAUGAUCAGUCACACUGGAACUGAGACACGGUCCAGACUCCUACGGGAGGCAGCAGUGGGGAAUAUUGGACAAUGGGCGCAAGCCUGAUCCAGCCAUGCCGCGUGUGUGAAGAAGGUCUUCGGAUUGUAAAGCACUUUAAGUUGGGAGGGAGGUCAGUAGCUUAAUACGUUGCUGAUUUGACGUUACCGACAGAAUAAGCACCGGCUAACUCUGUGCCAGCCGCCGCGGUAAGAC